GUACAGGACGGUGUCACCUCCAGACCCAAGGGCAGGCUCUGCAGCACCAGAAACACAUGGAGUUUCUACAGUUCUGCUUGCUGUGACCUUCUGGGCCACCAGGGAAACGCAAUGGAGUCCUGCCAGCUUCGCGCGACGAACCGUCACUUGCCAGGACUCUCUCCAGGCUUCCUGAGACACUGAGUUGCUGCUUGAGGUCCUGACUGCUUCUGAUUCCUCACUGUGCUGCUGGCAGGGUGGGAUUGAUGUCCCGUUUGGGACACUGGGCAGAGCCAAGCCCAUCGCCAUCCUCUGUGCCUUUGGCAGACUGGGGGACCAAGCUGGAUCCCUCUCUCUAAAGGGGUUCCAAGUGAGCAAGGGACAGGCUUGGGGCUGUCCACAUUCACUCUGGUGGGAAGAGACACCUCCUUCACCCUUUCCACUUGGGAACCGUGUCACUGCUGGGGAUGGCACCACAUGGACGCAGAGCAAGGGUCAGCAGCCUGGCAGGACGGCACUAGCUGAGCCUGAGCACCAUCACAGGGCACGGCGCUGCCCGGGGGGUGCCAGCAUCCCCGGCACGGGCGCACUCCGGGGAUGUAGUGCCGGGCGCGGGAGGAGCUCCGGCACCAUGGGCCGGCUGGACGACCAUGCCAAGAGGAGAAUCGUGGAGCUGCGCAGGGCUGGGCUGAGCUUCCGCAAGAUCAAGAAGGUGCUGGAGCUGGAUGACAUCCGAGUGACGCCGCAGGCUGUGUACCUCUUCCUCAAGAGGAAGAGUGUGGAGCCGGGGUCAGCGGCAGCUGGCUGGGAUGGGGACCAGCCCUGGCAGGGGCACGAGGCUGAGCUCCCCAGGCUGCUGGGCACCCGGCACCCUGCACUGCCCACCGGGGAUCCUGCGGGCAGCCAGGACACCAAGGAAGGCAUCCAGAUUGUCAGCGUGGCCUCACUGUGCAAGGACGGUGGGCAGCUUGGGGACACUUUGGCUAUGGGGCUGGCCCCUGGAAAUGGUGAUGACAGCUCCACAGGCACAGCCCUGGUUCCAGGGACUGCUCUGAGGGGCCUUGCUCCCCUGCCCCAGACACUGCCCAGCCAAGGGCAGCUGGUCACACCCCCCACCCAGAACUCAGCUCUUAUGGUGAAAAAGAAGACAGUGGACAGGGCUAUCCUCCUGCAGAAAAAGGUCAAAGAUGCCAGCACUCAGACUGCCGUGCCAGACUCUGUGGGUCUGGGCAAUCACAGCCUUGCUUGCAGCAGAGCAGUGCCCCCGCCUGCUCCCAGCUGCCCUGCCAUCGCCGAGAAGCUGGAUGCUGUGCAGCUGGAGGUGCAGAAGCUGAGCCAGGCCCUGCAUGCGGUGCUGGAGCGGCAGUGCCACCUGGAGCGCCAGCAGGAGCAGCAGCAGCGGCUGCAGCAGGAGGUGCUGGUGACACUGCAGCAGCUCAGCUCCACCGUGAGCCACAGCACCGUGCCUGCCACCCAGCCCUGUGGGCCUUUCAGCAGCAUGGCCGAGCCCUCGCCCAGCAUGCCAAACUUCAGCCAGUUCAAGAUGGAGCUGAUCUGAGCUCCCACAAGGCCUGUGUGUGCCAGCAGGCCUGUGCUAAUGGAGCCAGGAGGAAGAACCAUCUCUCAGAGGCUGCCCAAGGAUUAAGGUCCAUGCAGCGCCCAGCAGAUAAGGUCCCUGGUGCCUCAUCUUCCCAGCCCUGCUGACUGGAAGGGGCUGCCUGGCACAAGAGGCUGGACGGUGGAAGGCUGAGGCCUUGCUCCUCCUGUGCUGCUGAUCCUGGCUGGCACUGGAGCUGGCUGGGGCCCAUGGACCUCAGGAGAACGCAGUUGCCUGCAAUGAGAGGAUGCAGCUAACAUGGACACAGCAGGGAGGUGGGACUCCAGGGAUACAGGAUGUUUCCUUCUCUUAUGGAUCAAUGCCACGAUGAUCAAUCUUGCCCUUCCCUCCACAGGAGCUUGUUCAGUAAAAAUCUGUCUGCAGCACGGUGCAGAACCAGUGUGGGAUCAGUAUCUGUGUGUUCCCUACCCCUCACCCAGUGAGCAGGCUGGAACUGUCUGGGUCACUGUCACCAUGCAUGGAACUGCACAGGGUGCAGAAACCUGUGAGGUGAGACCAGUGCUCCACACACAAUGUUGCUGGAGCCUGGUAUCAUCUGCUGCACCAUUAGGGAUACAUCAGACUUGUAUGUUACAUGACUUGAUGAGGGUUCCUCAGGGUGAGAGAGAUAGACGAGAAUCUUGCUUCAUGAUCAGAAGGCUGGAUUUAUUAAUUUAUGAUAUAUGAUACAUUAAGACUAUACUAAUAGGAAUAGAGAGAAAAGUUGCAGAAGCUGCUAAGCUAAGAAUAGAAUAGGAAUAGGAAUGAAUAACAAAGUUCUGUGUCCAGGCAGAAAGCAAGCAAGCUCUCUUGUGAGUGGUCAGCAAAUCCAAACACUCACAGAAGACCAAUCACAGAUGCACCUGUUACAUUCCACAACAGCAGAUAAUAAUUGUUUACAUUUUUCUUCUGGGGCCCCAGCUUCCCAGAAGAGGAAAAAUCCUAAAAGAAAGGAUUUUUAUGAAAAGAUGUCUGUGACACUUGUAGGAAACAAUCUUUUACUGAGCAGAUUCCACCCUCCUCACCCCACAGAUCUGGAGUCUGGUACUGCUGCUGCCCACUCUCUGGUGAGAUAUGGGCAGGACUGUACCAGUAAGAGUUGCACCUGGGCAGGAGCUGAUUAACUGUGUGUUUAUGUUUAGCUCUCCUCUAACUGGUUUUCCUGGGCAGGAUAGCCUCCUGGUUCUCCCUAGGGCAGGCUGCUUUAGCAGUGCUGCUCUAGCAGAGCAGGUCAUGAUGCUGAGAACCCCCUACCCUGCACCAGAAGGGCACGGAGGAGGCUGAUGGGCCCUCGCUGAGCAGUGGAGUCCAGAAGGACCAGAGACUGGCCUUGCCUGCCAGCAGGAAGGGUCUGAUGGGGGUGGCCUUGGCUCAGCAGCCAGUAGUGAAUCCCGAGAGGAAGCAGAGCGCGUGUUCUUCCUCCACAUCAGCCAAGCAGCUUCUGUCUGUGUGGGCACCACGCUUGGCACAACCUGUGCAUAUGAGAAGUUCCCAGCCUGUUUCUGAGGGCUCUUUGAGUCAAAGGUCAAAAUUAAGAAGGGUAAAAACCAGCUGAGGUGUUUGUACAUAGACCCACACACGGAGCUGUACGCACGGGCACAGAGGUAGAUGCAUGUGGCAGGUCUGUGCAGCAGCCCCAGGGCCUGGGGGAGCUGGACACCUGCUCUGCCCCACACACAUUGCUGGCCCCAGGGCUGUCAGAUCCACCUGUGCCCAGGGGAACUGGAAGUCUGCUGCCAUCUGCCUGCAGUCACUCCUUUGGAUGUUGGUGUAAUUUUCGGGAUGUCUGAAAAGCAACAGAUGAAAAAAACCACAUGAUCAGUUGCUCUGCUCUUUUGCACAAGGCAGCUAAUCUGCACCUCAGGUUUGAAAAGAAGAGGCUGGGUGAUCAGCACUCAGCAGGCACAGUUCCCUAAUGUCUCUGUUAACACUUCAGAGAAAAAGAGGAGCACAACAACUGCUAUUCCCUGGCACAUGUACUUAGAACCACACUGGUUUCUGAAAGAGCUUCCCUAAAUCUGACUUGGGCUAUUUCUUAAAUUAUUAAAAAAAAAUAUAUAUAUAUAUACUGUGUUUUCUAUUCCCCAAAUGUAUUCUAAGAACCUUCCUCAUUUCUAACUCUUGCACAUCAGCCCUUUAUCCAGUGCUAAAAAUAAACCCAGCAAAAAUUAAUAAAACA
ensembl:lncRNA